UGCACAGAACUGAACAGUGUGAACAAGUCUGGUGAUGAAGCACAGAUUAAGUCUUUAAAAUAUCUUAAUUUCACAGCCCUUCAACACAUAUAAUUUAUAUAUGAAGCACCAAAACUGGAGCCAAGGUCUGAACAGAUUAUACAUACACUGGAAAAGAAAUAGGGAAAAAGUAAUGAAGACAGAAAAACAGAGAAUUGAACAGUCACGUGGGAUAUUAGUUCCCUGACCAGGGAUCGAACCCGUGCCCCCAGCAGUGGAAGCUCGGAGUCUUAAACACUGGCCUACCCAGGAAGUCCUCACAGGAUCUUUUUAUAAUGUAUUUGCAUCUCAGAAAUACCUGUGUCAUAUUACCUUGAUGUCAGCAACUGGAAUAUGGAAAAAAAUUUUUUUUGAAAUGCUA